rnacentral:rRNA from 1 species
UAGGGGGUGUAGCAAUACAUCACCGGCGGACGGGUGCGUAACACGUGGGAAUAUACCUUUUGGUUCGGAACAACGCAGGGAAACUUGCGCUAAUACCGAAUGUGCCCUUACGGGGAAAGAUUUAUCGCCAAAGGAUUAGCCCGCGUCCGAUUAGCUAGUUGGUGAGGUAACGGCUCACCAAUGUCUCCGAUCGGUAGCUGUUCUGAGAGGAAGAUCAGCCACACUGGGACUGAGACACGGCCCAGACUCCUACGGGAGGCAGCAGUUGGGAAUCUUGGACAAUGGGGGAAACCCUGAUCCAGCCAUGCCGCGUGAGUGAUGAAGGCCUUCGGGUUGUAAAACUCUUUCGACGGGGACGAUAAUGACGGUACCCGUAGAAGAAGCUCCGGCUAACUUCGUG